GCCCGCAUAGCACAGUGGCAGUGCGUUCCUCUCGUAGUUGUUCCUCUUCCUCCUCUUCGGAGAGAGAGGUCUACAGCUCUUAAGGAAAGGUCAGUGGUUCAAUCCCGCUUGGGGGCA